UACGGAGGGUGCAAGCGUUAAUCGGAAUUACUGGGCGUAAAGGGUGUGUAGACGGUUUGAUAAGUUAAGUGUGAAAGACCUGGGCUUAACCUGGGGGAGUCACUUAAGACUGUUAGACUAGAGUAUGGGAGAGGGUAGUGGAAUUUCCGGUGUAGCGGUGAAAUGCGUAGAGAUCGGAAGGAACACCAGUGGCGAAGGCGGCUAUCUGGCCCAAUACUGACGUUGAGGCACGAAAGCGUGGGGAGCAAACAGG
rnacentral:rRNA from 1 species